AUGCACGCUGGCGGCGUGCCUAAUCCAUGCCAGUCGAGCGAACAGAUGAGGAGCUUGCUCCUCUGACGUUAGCGGCGGACGGGUGAGUAACACGUGGAUAACCUACCUAUAAGACUGGGAUAACUUCGGGAAACCGGAGCUAAUACCGGAUAAUAUAUUGAACCGCAUGGUUCAAUAGUGAAAGACGGUUUUGCUGUCACUUAUAGGUGGAUCCGCGCCGCAUUAGCUAGUUGGUAAGGUAACGGCUUACCAAGGCAACGAUGCGUAGCCGACCUGAGAGGGUGAUCGGCCACACUGGAACUGAGACACGGUCCAGACUCCUACGGGAGGCAGCAGUAGGGAAUCUUCCGCAAUGGGCGAAAGCCUGACGGAGCAACGCCGCGUGAGUGAUGAAGGUCUUCGGAUCGUAAAACUCUGUUAUUAAGGAAGAACAAAUGUGUAAGUAACUAUGCACGUCUUGACGGUACCUAAUCAGAAAGCCACGGCUAACUACGUG
rnacentral:rRNA from 1 species